GGAUUGUAGCUCAGUGGUAGAGCACUUGCCUAAUAUGUGUGAGGCCCUGGGUUCGAUCCCCAACACCA
rnacentral:tRNA from 1 species